rnacentral:pre_miRNA from 1 species
AUGCACCUCUCCCAAGGAUCUUGUUAAAAUGCUGUUUCUACUUCAGCAGGCUGGUGUGAGGCCUGAGAGUCUGCAUUUUUAGCAAGUUCUUGGGCAAUGAUGCU